rnacentral:misc_RNA from 1 species
GCUACGAAAUGGCGGAUAAUUUAUGUUUUAUCGAUCCCAUCAAUAUGGGUAUCAAAUGAAAGUGCUCAACCAGUAUAAUCAAUGUACUAUAUAAAAUUAAAAUCCAAGAUGGCGGCCUCUACAAAAUGGCGGAUAACUUAGGUUUUAUCAAUCCCAUUAACAUGGGUAUCAAAUGAAAGGUCUCAACAAGUAGAAUACAAUUUACUAUGCAAAAUUGAAAUCUAAGCUGGCCGCCGCUACCAAAUGUCUGAUAUCAAUUUUUUAUCAAUCCCACCAAUAUGGGUAUCAAAUAAAAGGGCUUGACAAGAAGAAUACAGUGCA